AUUGAACGCUGGCGGCAGGCCUAACACAUGCAAGUCGAGCGAGCGGCGGACGGGUGAGUAAUGUAUGGGGACUGCCCGAUAGAGGGGGAUAACGACAGGAAAAGGUAGCUAAUACCGCAUACUAUCGGAUAACCCAUAUGGGAUUAGCUAGUAGGUGAGGUAAUGGCUCACCUAGGCGACGAUCCCUAGCUGGUCUGAGAGGAUUCUCAGCCACACUGGGACUGAGACACGGCCCAGACUCCUACGGAGGCAGCAGUGGGGAAUAUUGCACAAUGGGCGCAAGCCUGAUGCAGCCAUGCCGCGUGUAUGAAGAAGGCCCUAGGGGUGUAAAGUACUUUCAGUCGGGAGGCGUUACCGACAGAAGAAGCACCGGCUAACUCCGUGCCAGCAGCCGCGGUAAUUC
rnacentral:rRNA from 1 species